rnacentral:misc_RNA from 1 species
AACGCACGAGACCUGCGGACCUGCGGAGGGAUCAUUAUUGUUAGCCAUCCAACCUUGCUGUCGGUCACCCCUUCAAAAAAGGGGUGGCCGGCAACAAGCACCCGUGACAUGUUAAAGUCCUUAACAGUACCCGGAUCUAUGCAAAUAGGUCUGGUGUUACUGUUGUUAAGCACCUCUAUCUUAAACAGAAUAGUCUAAUACUUGAGUUUGUCAAUUUUAUAUUGGCAAGCGCAAAAAAAA